GUGGGGGAUAUUGCACAAUGGGGGAAACCCUGAUGCAGCGACGCCGCGUGAAGGAAGACGUACUUCGGUAUGUAAACUUCUAUCAGCAGGGAAGAAGAUGACGGUACCUGACUAAGAAGCCCCGGCUAACUACGUGCCAGCAGCCGCGGUAAUACGUAGGGGGCAAGCGUCAUCCGGAUUUACUGGGUGUAAAGGGAGCGUAGACGGUGAAGCAAGUCUGAUGUGAAAACCCGGGGCUCAACUCCGGGAUUGCAUUGGAAACUGUUUUACUUGAGUGCUGGAGGGGCAAGCGGAAUUCCUGGUGUAGCGGUGAAAUGCGUAGAUAUCAGGAAGAACACCGGUGGCGAAGGCGGCUUGCUGGACAGUAACUGACGUUGAGGCUCGAAAGCGUGAGGAGCAAACAGGAUUAGAAACCCGGGUAGUCC
rnacentral:rRNA from 1 species